AUACCUUUUUCGGUCUUUUGGCUAAGAUCAAGUGUAGUAUUUGUUCUUAUCAGUUUAAUAGCUGAUACAUGAUCCAUUGGACCACAUGAUAUUAAAUUAAAUUUUCAAUGGGGUAGGGACCACCACUCUAGCUUGCUAGUGGAUACCUCGAGUGUUACCCAUGUGUUGCAUUAUUACUGGGGCCCGGCGCACCCCUA
rnacentral:snRNA from 1 species